AACGCUAGCUACAGGCUUAACACAUGCAAGUCGAGGGGAAACGACAUCGAAAGCUUGCUUUUGAUGGGCGUCGACCGGCGCACGGGUGAGUAACGCGUAUCCAACCUGCCCACCACUUGGGGAUAACCUUGCGAAAGUAAGACUAAUACCCAAUGACGUCUCUAGAAGACAUCUGAAAGAGAUUAAAGAUUUAUCGGUGAUGGAUGGGGAUGCGUCUGAUUAGCUUGUUGGCGGGGUAACGGCCCACCAAGGCAACGAUCAGUAGGGGUUCUGAGAGGAAGGUCCCCCACAUUGGAACUGAGACGCGGUCCAAACUCCUACGGGAGGCAGCAGUGAGGAAUAUUGGUCAAUGGGCGCAAGCCUGAACCAGCCAAGUAGCGUGCAGGAUGACGGCCCUAUGGGUUGUAAACUGCUUUUAUACAGGAAUAAAGUUAGCCACGUGUGGUUAUUUGUAGGUACUGUAUGAAUAAGGACCGGCUAAUUCCGUGCCAGCAGCCGCGGUAAUACGGAAGGUCCAGGCGUUAUCCGGAUUUAUUGGGUUUAAAGGGAGCGUAGGCCGUCUGUUAAGCGUGUUGUGAAAUGUAGAUGCUCAACAUCUGAAUUGCAGCGCGAACUGGCAGACUUGAGUGUGCGCAACGUAGGCGGAAUUCGUGGUGUAGCGGUGAAAUGCUUAGAUAUCACGAAGAACUCCGAUUG
rnacentral:rRNA from 1 species